rnacentral:rRNA from 1 species
CCUACGGGUGGCAGCAGUGGGGAAUAUUGCGCAAUGGGCGAAAGCCUGACGCAGCGACGCCGCGUGAGGGAUGAAGGUCUUCGGAUCGUAAACCUCUGUCAGCAGGGAAGUACGGUCACUGUGCUAAUCAGCAGUGACUUGACGGUACCUUCAAAGGAAGCACCGGCUAACUCCGUUCCAGCAGCCGCGGUAAUACGUAGGGUGCGAGCGUUAAUCGGAAUUACUGGGCGUAAAGCGCUCGUAGGAGGUAUGUCAAGUCAAGGGUGAAAUCCCCGCGCUCAACGUGGGAACUGCCUUUGAAACGGGCAAACUGGAGUGUGCGAGAGGAUAGUGGAAUUCCAGGUGUAGGAGUGAAAUCCGUAGAUAUCUGGAGGAACAUCAGUGGCGAAGGCGACUAUCUGGCACAUAACUGACGCUGAGGAGCGAAAGCGUGGGUAGCAAACAGGAUUAGAUACCCUAGUAGUC